rnacentral:lncRNA from 1 species
CAGUGUAGAGAUAUUGGGGUGAGAGUGUAGGUAGUUGUUAGAAAAUAACUUAUAUUGAGCGUAACCAACAUAAAAAAUUACUUGGAUGUCUACUCACUCGUUAGUGAUUUUCUCGAUGCUGCAGUGGUGUGACUGAUCUUUUGAUCUGUGGUGUGUUGGCUAUUCACAGUGAGGCUAUAUAGUUUGACUGUACGUUUCUUUGGUCCCUAGUCAUAUGGAUCUUGGCUGUGUAUGUUGGCUAUGUCGUUGUUUGAAGUAAGAUACACCUAUAUGGAAUCUAUCGACCUUGGUAGAA